UACGUAGGUGGCAAGCGUUGUCCGGAUUUACUGGGCGUAAAGAGCGCGCAGGCGGUCGUGCAAGUCGCGUGUGAAAGCCCCCGGCUCAACUGGGGAGGGUCACGCGAUACUGCUCGACUCGAAGGCAGGAGAGGGAAGUGGAAAUUCCCGGUGUAGUGGUGAAAUGCGUAGAUAGUCGGAGGAACACCAGUGGCGAAAGGCGACUUCCUGGCCUGUUCUUGACGCUGAGGCGCGAAAGCUAGGGUAGCAAACGG
rnacentral:rRNA from 1 species